UACGUAGGGGGCUAGCGUUGUCCGGAAUCAUUGGGCGUAAAGCGCGUGUAGGCGGUUCGGUAAGUCCGCUGUGAAAGUCGGGGGCUCAACCCUCGGAUGCCGGUGGAUACUGUCGGGCUUGAGUACGGAAGAGGCGAGUGGAAUUCCUGGUGUAGCGGUGAAAUGCGCAGAUAUCAGGAGGAACACCAAUUGCGAAGGCGGCACUCUGGGCCGGUACUGACGCUGAGGAGCGAAAGCGUGGGGAGCGAACAGG
rnacentral:rRNA from 1 species